rnacentral:tRNA from 1 species
GGGCAGGUGGCACAGCCAGGAUACUGCGCCGGCCUUCUAAGCCGGAUGUCGCGGGUUCGAAUCCCGUCCUGCCCG